GCCCUCAUAGCUCAGUUGGCAGAGCGCAUUCUUGGUAAGAAUGAGGUCAUGGGUUCAAAUCCCAUUGAGGGCU
rnacentral:tRNA from 3 species